GGCUGGUCCGAAGGUAGUGAGUUAUCUCACUUGAUUGUUCACAGUCAGUUACAGAUUGAACUCCUUGUUCUACCACUUAACCCUCCUCCUCACUACUGCACUUGACCAGUCUUAA
rnacentral:Y_RNA from 1 species